rnacentral:rRNA from 2 species
GCGACUUAUAUUCUGUAGCAAGGUUAACCGUAUAGGGGAGCCGAAGGGAAACCGAGUCUUAACUGGGCGUUAAGUUGCAGGGUAUAGACCCGAAACCCGGUGAUCUAGCCAUGGGCAGGUUGAAGGUUGGGUAACACUAACUGGAGGACCGAACCGACUAAUGUUGAAAAAUUAGCGGAUGACUUGUGGCUGGGGGUGAAAGGCCAAUCAAACCGGGAGAUAGCUGGUUCUCCCCGAAAGCUAUUUAGGUAGCGCCUCGUGAACUCAUCUUCGGGGGUAGAGCACUGUUUCGGCUAGGGGGUCAUCCCGACUUACCAACCCGAUGCAAACUGCGAAUACCGAAGAAUGUUAUCACGGGAGACACACGGCGGGUGCUAACGUCCGUCGUGAAGAGGGAAACAACCCAGACCGCCAGCUAAGGUCCCAAAGUCACAGUUAAGUGGGAAACGAUGUGGGAAGGCUCAGACAGCCAGGAUGUUGGCUUAGAAGCAGCCAUCAUUUAAAGAAAGCGUAAUAGCUCACUGGUCGAGUCGGCCUGCGCGGAAGAUGUAACGGGGCUAAACUGUGCACCGAAGCUGCGGCAGCGACGCUUAUGCGUUGUUGGGUAGGGGAGCGUUCUGUAAGCCUGCGAAGGUGUCCUGUGAGGGAUGCUGGAGGUAUCAGAAGUGCGAAUGCUGACAUAAGUAACGAUAAUGCGGGUGAAAAGCCCGCUCGCCGGAAGACCAAGGGUUCCUGUCCAACGUUAAUCGGGGCAGGGUGAGUCGACCCCUAAGGCGAGGCCGAAAGGCGUAGUCGAUGGGAAACGGGUUAAUAUUCCCGUACUUGGUGUUACUGCGAAGGGGGGACGGAGAAGGCUAUGUUGGCCGGGCGACGGUUGUCCCGGUUUAAGCGUGUAGGCUGGUUUUCCAGGCAAAUCCGGAAAAUCAAG